rnacentral:misc_RNA from 1 species
GAUGAAGAACGUAGCGAAAUGCGAUAAGUAAUGUGAAUUGCAGAAUUCAGUGAAUCAUCGAAUCUUUGAACGCACCUUGCGCCCCUUGGUUAUUCCAAAGGGCAUGCCUGUUUGAGUAUCAUGAACACCUCAACUCUUGUGGUUUCCCACAAUGAGCUUGGACUGUGGAGGUUUUGUUGGCCCUGUGGUCAGCUCCUCUCAAAUGGAUCAGCUUACCGGUGUUUGGUGGCAUUACGGGUGUGAUAACUAUCUACGCUCGUGGUCGUCUCCAAAUACCCUCCAGUGAUGGAGGUUCGCUGGAGCUUAUAAAUGUCUCUCCCCAGUGAAGACAGCCUUUGAACGUUCGAUCUCAAAUCAGGUAGGACUACCCGCUGAACUUAAGCAUAUCAUAAGCGGAGGA